UGCGCGCAUUCACAGAGAUUAGCAGCGCGCAAACGCACGCGGCUGCGUCAUACAUCGACACCGGCGUGAUUUAUUAACGGUGGUUAGCGGCCGAUUUUUGUGAUCGAUGUGCAUCGCAGAUCGUAAAUCGUACUCGAAAACACCGCCGAGAUUACACACACAUUCAAUCUGCACCACUCAUUAUCAUUCAUUCAGAUUUGACAAUGGAGGAGAGCAGAAGCAAAAUCAACCCACGACUUUUCCGUCGAUCUGGAAGCAGGUGAAUGGGAACUUGUCGCCAUCUUCGUUGUAGGUGUACAGGGUCAGCUCAAUUCCGAAGUUAAUCUGGAAAAAUGUUUUUAGUCCUUUCGCGCCUUAUAAAACGCUUUCUGCCAUGUUCAACACCACGAAGACUUUGGACAGUUCAGACGUGGACACCAGCUCGCUGUCCUCCCGUUUCUUCUGUUUCUGCUGUGUGCCUAUGAAAUAUCUGCAAGACUUGCAUCGGUAAUAGGUAAGACUAAGUUAAGAGUUAGUAAGCAUGGUGCUUGUACCGCGGGAGGAAUGCGUGGGACACGUGGGACAUCUCGAGGAGAAGACGCGCCGGGCCACACAAGGACUACUUCGCCUUUUGUAAACUCUUACAACGUGCUACCACGAGCAGAAAACAACGCAAGCAACAGCAGCCCUUGUAAUCACGCUUUGACUAAGAAUUAUCAGACAAUAAGUUGAGAUGUGGUGCAAGAAGAUGAGUUUUUGGUCCAGAACGAGUAGAAGAAGCAGUGUAAUCGCCAUCGUGAUGGUCUUUUUAACGUGAAACAAAACAAGUAUUUCGCAUACACUGCACCUCGCUCAACUCAGUCACUCGCGAUUUUCGGUCGACCGCGCGUCUUGCUCCACAAUUCCAUCAGUUUAAAACAAUUUACGACCAUCUCAACAACAUUGAACGUGUCCAAACCCUAGAAGAAUAUCCAUUCCACCGAUUCGCCGCAAAAUAUCAUCUCCGGUUUGGUGACAAAUUAGGCAACCCAGUUACAAAUAACUUCACCUACUUUGCUUUUAUGAUCUGCGAGAAAACGGUAAGAUUCGUUCGUCCUGGGAGGAAUUUUGCUAUCUGAAGAAGUGCAGUGAUGUUCCUACGAAUUUUGUCCUUUUUCGUUUUGUGAGGAUUCACCGUCCGCUUGUGGAUUCUCCUUAAAUCCUAAAAUUUCUUUGCAAAAAUUGUAAUUCUUGAUAUCCAGAAAGAAAAAUGUUCAAAAUUUGAAGUUUUUUGGCAUUUUCUUUUUUGCACUUUUGUUGUUCGUUGUACAUAAUAGUUAAUUUUUGUUUCUUGUGUAUUUUGUAUGUAAAAUUUGUUAUAUUAAGGAGGAAAUGUAAAAAAUGUGCGUAUUUAUUAUUUAUAUUAUUAUAAAGGAUGGUCGUAAAUGUCUACUGGUUGAAACUUUUGAUUUGUAUUGAGUUAUUGUUGUAAUUGUUUGAAAAUCAAUAAUAUUUUAAUAAAGAAAUAUUAAAAGAGA